CCCUUAGAUGUUCUGGGCCGCACGCGUGCUACACUGAGUGGAUCAGCGGGUCAGGUUGCGCGAAAGUGUUUCCUAAUCUUUAAAUCCGCUCGUGAUGGGGAUUGACGGUUGCAAUUUUCCGUCAUGAACGAGGAAUACCUUGUAAGCGCGGGUCAUCAUCCCGCGCUGAAUACGUCCCUGCCCUUUGUACACACCGCCCGUCGCUCCUACCGAUUGAGUGGUCCGGUGAGGCUUUGGGAUCUGGGCGGAAAGAGCGCUUCGCUGUUUCUGCCCGGAAAACUCAGUCGAACCUUAUCAUUUAGAGGAAGGAGAAGUCGUAACA
rnacentral:rRNA from 1 species